GGCAUCCCUGUGGCCGAGGGGCAUGGCAAGGACAGUCUGCUGUCAUUUGUUAAUUAUGCCCUUAGUUUUGAAGAGAUCCAGUCUCUUCUCACCUAUGAGGCCAGUGGAGUGGGUGUUGGGGCAGCCUCAUCGGAAGAUGACCAGCUGGUUGGCUUUGGUUCCCGGGCCAAGAGCACCUGGAAGGAGAUAUGCAGAGCUGAUGGCUAUGCAGACUUCAUCAUGAAGAAGAGCUGCGUCCCAGGGACACGCAUGUACAAGCUGCAGCAAUACCUGCGGAAGAGGCAGCAAUCUGCCACUGCUUCCAUACCUGCUGAACAUACCUCAAGGGCCCCAGCAAAACCCCUGGUGAUGGAUGAUGAUGAAGAGCUGGAGAGAGCGAUGUUGAGCAUCUCACCCUCUAAGCUUCAAGUGCAGAGCUUUGCUGUGCCAGCAGCAGUAGCAGCAGCUGCCAUACCCAGAGUGUCACCAGGAGCAAAGACAGGUUUUUAAAUAAGAGGUUUCAGGACUGGAGUAAGAUGAAUUGCCCUCCAAAACUGAACCUUGACUUAAACUGUUAUAUUGUUUGCGUUCUGGCCAUGUUCCUCCAACAAUAUGGUUGUAUGCUGGCAUUAUACUAACUGUCCUAAGGACUAUGAAUUCCUGCCAUGAUGAAUUACAACCACAAUGAGGGUAAGUGUGCAUUUUUGUUCUGCAUUCAUGUUGUUUAAAGGUACUAACACUUGAAUGCAUGCUUUUUCACUGAGUCAUAUUGCUCCUCCUG
ensembl:lncRNA